UACGUAGGGGGCAAGCGUUGUCCGGAAUCAUUGGGCGUAAAGAGCGUGUAGGCGGCCCGGUAAGUCCGCUGUGAAAGUCCAGGGCUCAACCCUGGGAUGCCGGUGGAUACUGCCGGGCUCGAGUCCGGAAGAGGCGAGUGGAAUUCCCGGUGUAGUGGUGAAAUGCGUAGAUAUCGGGAGGAACACCAGUGGCGAAGGCGACUUCCUGGCCUGUUCUUGACGCUGAGGCGCGAAAGCUAGGGGAGCAAACGGG
rnacentral:rRNA from 1 species